GCAACAGCUCAAAUUUGAAAGCUAGCCUUCGGGUUCGCAUUGUAAUUUGUAGAGGAUGCUUUGGGUAAAACGCCAGUCUAAGUUCCUUGGAACAGGACGUCAUAGAGGGUGAGAAUCCCGUAUGUGACUGGAAAUGUUAACCUAUGUAAAGCUCCUUCGACGAGUCGAGUUGUUUGGGAAUGCAGCUCUAAAUGGGAGGUAAAUUUCUUCUAAAGCUAAAUAUUGGCGAGAGACCGAUAGCGCACAAGUAGAGUGAUCGAAAGAUGAAAAGCACUUUGGAAAGAGAGUUAAAAAGCACGUGAAAUUGUUGAAAGGGAAGCGCUUGCAAUCAGACUUGUUUAAACUGUUCGGCCGGUCUUCUGACCGGUUUACUCAGUUUGGACAGGCCAGCAUCAGUUUCGGCGGCCGGAUAAAGGCUCUGGGAAUGUGGCCUCCACUUCGGUGGAGGUGUUAUAGCCCAGUGUGUAAUACGGCCAGCCGGGACUGAGGUCCGCGCUUCGGCUAGGAUGCUGGCGUAAUGGUUGUAAGCGACCCGUCUU
rnacentral:rRNA from 1 species